ensembl:lncRNA
GGCUCCCUGGGCCGCCCUGCCUGCCCUUGCCACCCCUGGCUGGCAGUGCCCGUGCUGCUGGGGCCGGUGGUGGCUGCAGCCCCUCUGGCCGUGCUGCAGCCCCUGGCUUCCUUGGCGGCAGCCCCUCCUCUGGCCGUGCUGCAGCCCCCGGCUUCCAUCUCAGCCCCCAGUAGCCCCCAGCAGCCUCACCUACCAGCAGGGAGAUCACGGGCUGGCAGCCCAGAGCGGGCAGUGUGAGGGACGGGAGGAGAGCAGCCCCGGGAGGGAUCAGGGGCCGGUAGAUGUAGAUGAUGAAGAAGAGGAUAUAGAGAUAGUUGUUGUAUAGAUAGUUAGAGGGUAUGAUGAUAGUUGAUAGCGAUGUAGAUUAGUUGAUAGCGACGUAGAUUAGUUGAUAGUGACGUAGAUAGUGAGAUAGACAGCUGAUGGUGGUAUACAGGUAGUAAACAGAUAGCAGAGAGCAAGAUGGGUUAUUGGUAGAGAGGUGGUUUGUGAAUAGCAAGGUAGUUAGCAGCAAGCAAGAGUUAGUAGCAAUGUAGUUAGAUCAUAGCCAGAUAGCUGAUAGGGGGAUGCAGGAUAGAAAGAUGGGUGACUGGGAGAUAGUUAAUUUAUAGCCUGUGAUAUAAGAAGUUGCUAAAAAGAACUUAAUCUCUGUUUCAGAUGAGCCAUUGCGUCCUGGGACACCUCUCUCCCCGCCAGCAUGGGGUGAAGAGCAACACCUGAUGCUGCCCCAGCGCUGGCAGAAGAACAGCAGCUCUGCAGAGACCCGUCCUGCCAGCAGAGCAUCACGGAGAAGAAGACGCGCCUUCUGCUCACAGGAAGAUGAGCCACGGAGACCUGGGACACCACUCUCCCCUCCAGCAUGUGAUGAGGACCAACGCCUGAUGCUGCUUCAGCGCCGGCAGAAGAACAGCAGCUCUGGGAACACCCGUCCUGCCAGCAGAGCAUCACAGGGAAGAGGACGCACCUUCUGCUCAGAGCUAGGGCACAUCUCGGGUGGAAACACCGGCGGGGCUCUGACAGUCUCUGAAUGCUUUGCCCUGAAUUGGAGGUUGAAACCAAAUCACAGAUGUUUUUCUAUACAGUUACUCUUCUCCUGUAAGCCGAGCUUUGACAGAGUUGAUGUCCAAAACAGCCGAGGAAGAACUGGACUGAAGAGGAGAGCGCCAGCUGACAGCGCCCGUCUGGUGUGAUGUGCCCAGAGAGAGACUCGUCCAGCAAGAGAUAGAGUAGAUAGGGAGCAUAGGGACCCAGUUAGCUCUAAAAUGUCUUAGUAGUGCAGUUGUAAGAAAGCUCUGUAAAUAAAUUGUAUGCCAUUGUUUUCAUAUCCUUACACUGUGUCCAAAACUGUGUUUGUUCGUAGCCCGAUAUGCCUAGAAAUAAAUGACAGAACAAUAAAUCUUUUCCUCUGAUCUUCUGUGGCGGUGGUGGUUUUGUUUGUUUCGUGGUGGAAUCCUAAAAUGAUUUUAUAGUUCCUCUCACAGAGGAAGCAGCAGCAGCUGUUCUAACAUCGGGUUAGCAGUUUUUUAUACCAAGCAAGCUCUAGAUUCUUAGCCACAGGGAGCAGAAGGCAGGAUAACGCCUGCA